ensembl:lincRNA 4933413J09Rik RIKEN cDNA 4933413J09 gene
AUGAAGGCAUUGAAAGCAAGGGCAUACAGGAAAUAUGAUGGUGUGAAAAAGUCCAGCAUGAACUCAGACAGGACACAGACCAGGACCAGAGCCUCAUGUAGACAGAGCUGCUGCAGAAGGAGCAAUGAGCAUGCCUGCACCCUUGAGAGACCUGAGGAGGAUGAAGGAAAAUACGGACAACUUGAAUCCAUGACAGUCUUCAGUCUAGGAUCAAGGCCUCCUCACAAAAGCCAUCUCCUUGUAGCUGAGAACUCAACAGACUGUCUGGAAUCAGUUGCGGCAUCACAGUCCUGUAACACCAGAACUCCCAGGCAGAGAUGGAUGUCUGCAAGUGCCAAGUGGCUUGGUCUACACAGGUUGACAGAGAGAACAAACUUCCCACAAGUUUGUCCUCUGUUCUUCAUGUGGAUGGGGCCACCAGGUCUUUGUCACAGAAACGGAGCAUCGGGAAUUACAUAG